AGCAGCCGCGGUAAUUCCAGCUCCAAUAGCGUAUAUUAAAGUUGUUGCAGUUAAAAAGCUCGUAGUUGAACUUCGGGGUUCACCCAUUGGUCAGGCUUAAUUGUCUGUACUGGUGAGAUGAGUCUCUACCUUCUGAGGAACUUUCAUGCCAUUUAUUUGGUGUGAUUGGAAAUCAGGACUGUUACUUUGAAAAAAUUGAGUGUUUAAAGCAGGCUAACGUCUGAAUACAUUAGCAUGGAAUAAUGAAAUGGGACGGAUUGAUUCUAUUUCGUUGGUUCUAGGAUCACCGUAAUGAUUAANAGGGAUAGUGGGGGCAUUAGUAUUCAAUUGUCAGAGGUGAAAUUCUUGGAUUUAGUGAAGACUAACUACUGACGAAAGCAAUUUUGACCUAAGGUAUUAGUUUUU
rnacentral:rRNA from 1 species